rnacentral:lncRNA from 1 species
GUCGGCGAGACCAAAAAAGGAAGAUGAGGGGAGGCGGCGCCGCCGCCGCCGCUGGAGAGGAGAGGAAGAAGGAAGGAAGAAGAAAUAGGAAGAAGAAGAGGGGAGGCGGCGUCGCCGCCGCCACUGGAGAGGAGAGGAAGAAGGAGAGAAGAAAAGGAGGAAGAAGGAAAUGAGAAGGUAGCGCUGGAGGAGAAGAAGAAGAAAAAUAGGGAGGACGAAGAGCGGCAACGACGCCGCCGCCGCCGCCGGCGGUGGAGGAAGAGAGGUGUAGAGAGAAGGGAGAGGAAAGGAGUGAUAGAGAGAGGUAGU